rnacentral:rRNA from 1 species
GACGAACCGUGCGAACGUUGUUCGGAAUCAUCGUGGCUUAAAGGGCGCGUAGGCGGGCAGGCAAGUCAGGGUGAAAUCCCACGGCUCAACCGUGGAAGUGCCUUUGAUACUGCCGGUCUUGAGGGAGGUAGGGGCGUGCGGAACUUCCGGUGGAGCGGUGAAAUGCGUAGAUAUCGGAAGGAACACCGGUGGCGAAAGCGGCGCGCUGGACCUCUUCUGACGCUGAGGCGCGAAAGCC